rnacentral:rRNA from 1 species
UACGUAGGGGGCAAGCGUUGUCCGGAUUUAUUGGGCGUAAAGAGCGUGUAGGCGGUCAGGUAGGUCCGUUGUGAAAACUCGAGGCUCAACCUCGAGACGCCGAUGGAAACCAUCAGACUAGAGUCCGGAAGAGGAGAGUGGAAUUCCGUGGAUGUAGCGGUGAAAUGCGCAAGAUAUCAGGAAGAACACCCGUGGCUAAGGCGGCUCUCUAGUACGGUACUGACGCUGAGACGCGAAAGCGUGGGGAGCGAACAGG